rnacentral:rRNA from 1 species
CGCGGCCUAUCAGCUUGUUGGUGAGGUAAUGGCUCACCAAGGCUUCGACGGGUAGCCGGCCUGAGAGGGCGACCGGCCACACUGGGACUGAGAUCGGCCCAGACUCCUGCGGGGGGCAGCACUGGGGAAUAUUGCACAAUGGGGGAAACCCUGAUGAGCAACGCCGCGUGGGGGAUGACGGCCUUCGGGUUGUAAACCGCUUUUGCCAGGGACGAGGCUUGGUGACGGUACCUACGCAAGAAGGACCGGCUAACUACGUGCCAUCAGCCGCGGGGAUACGUAAGGUCCAAUCGUUGUCCGGAAUUAUUGGCCGUAAAGGGUUUGUAAGCGGUCCGUCGCGUCUUCUCUGAAAACUCGAAGCUUAACCCCGAGCCUGCUUUUGAUACAGGCUUUCUAAGGGGAUGCGAACUUGAACGGAAUUCCUGGUGGAGCGGUGGAAUGCGCGAUAUCAGGAGGAACACCGGUGGCCUGGGCGGUUCUCUGGGCAUCACCUGACGCUGAGAAGCGAAAGCGUGGGAAGCAAACCGGCUUAAAUACCCUGCUAGUCCAAUGCAUACUCGGUGCCUGCUAUUUGUGAUGGACAUUCCACGCUCUCCGUGCCGAAGCUAACGCUGUAAAUGACCCACCCGCUGAGUAAUGAAUCUCUACAGGAUCCCCGGUCACCGACCUCGACUUCGCUGUCUUGUGCGU